AGAGCGAACGCUGGCGGCAGGCUUAACACAUGCAAGUCGAGCGGGCGUAGCAAUACGUCAGCGGCAGACGGGUGAGUAACGCGUGGGAACAUACCUUUUGGUUCGGAACAACACAGGGAAACUUGUGCUAAUACCGGAUAAGCCCUUACGGGGAAAGAUUUAUCGCCGAAAGAUUGGCCCGCGUCUGAUUAGCUAGUUGGUGAGGUAACGGCUCACCAAGGCGACGAUCAGUAGCUGGUCUGAGAGGAUGAUCAGCCACAUUGGGACUGAGACACGGCCCAAACUCCUACGGGAGGCAGCAGUGGGGAAUAUUGGACAAUGGGCGCAAGCCUGAUCCAGCCAUGCCGCGUGAGUGAUGAAGGCCCUAGGGUUGUAAAGCUCUUUGUGCGGGAAGAUAAUGACGGUACCCGUAGAAUAAGCCCGGCUAACUUCGCGCCAGCAGCCGC
rnacentral:rRNA from 1 species